CACGUAGGGCGCAAGCGUUGUCCGGAAUUACUGGGCGUAAAGCGUGCGCAGGCGGUUUUGUAAGCCAGAUGUGAAAUCCCCGGGCUUAACCUGGGAAUGGCAUUUGGGACUGCAAGGCUGGAGUGUGGCAGAGGAGACUGGAAUUCCUGGUGUAGCAGUGAAAUGCGUAGAUAUCAGGAGGAAUACCGAUGGCGAAGGCAGGUCUCUGGGCUGACACUGACGCUCAUGCACGAAAGCGUGGGGAGCAAACAGG
rnacentral:rRNA from 1 species